rnacentral:rRNA from 1 species
AGUGAACGCUGGCGGUAGGCCUAACACAUGCAAGUCGAACGGCAGCACAGUAAGAGCUUGCUCUUACGGGUGGCGAGUGGCGGACGGGUGAGGAAUACAUCGGAAUCUACUUUUUCGUGGGGGAUAACGUAGGGAAACUUACACUAAUACCGCAUACGACCUACGGGUGAAAGCAGGGGAUCUUCGGACCUUGCGCGAUUGAAUGAGCCGAUGUCGGAUUAGCUAGUUGGCGGGGUAAAGGCCCACCAAGGCGACGAUCCGUAGCUGGUCUGAGAGGAUGAUCAGCCACACUGGUACUGAGACACGGUCCAGACUCCUACGGGAGGCAGCAGUGGGGAAUAUUGGACAAUGGGCGCAAGCCUGAUCCAGCCAUACCGCGUGGGUGAAGAAGGCCUUCGGGUUGUAAAGCCCUUUUGUUGGGAAAGAAAAGCAGCAGGUUAAUACCCCGCUGUUCUGACGGUACCCAAAGAAUAAGCACCGGCUAACUUCGUG